rnacentral:rRNA from 1 species
CCUACGGGUGUCAGCAGUGAGGAAUAUUGGUCAAUGGGCGGGAGCCUGAACCAGCCAAGUCGCGUGAGGGAAGACGGUCCUACGGAUUGUAAACCUCUUUUGCCGGGGAGCAACGGGGUCCUUGCGAGGGCCCAAUGAGAGUACCCGGCGAAAAAGCAUCGGCUAACUCCGUUCCAGCAGCCGCGGUAAUACGGUGGAUGCGAGCGUUAUCCGGAUUUACUGGGUGUAAAGGGCGUGUAGGCGGGACUGCAAGUCAGAUGUGAAAACCACGGGCUCAACCUGUGGCCUGCAUUUGAAACUGUAGUUCUUGAGUACUGGAGAGGCAGACGGAAUUCCUAGUGUAGCGGUGAAAUGCGUAGAUAGUAGGAGGAACACCAGUGGCGAAGGCGGUCUGCUGGACAGCAACUGACGCUGAGGCGCGAAAGCGUGGGGAGCAAACAGGAUUAGAUACCCCAGUAGUC